GACGAACGCUGGCGGCGUGCUUAACACAUGCAAGUCGAACGGUAAGGCCCUUCGGGGUACACGAGUGGCGAACGGGUGAGUAACACGUGGGUGAUCUGCCCUGCACUUCGGGAUAAGCCCGGGAAACUGGGUCUAAUACCGGAUAGGACCACUGCCUGCAUGGGUGGUGGUGGAAAGCUUUUGCGGUGUGGGAUGGGCCCGCGGCCUAUCAGCUUGUUGGUGGGGUGAUGGCCUACCGAGGCGACGACGGGUAGCCGGCCUGAGAGGGUGACCGGCCACACUGGGACUGAGAUACGGCCCAGACUCCUACGGGAGGCAGCAGUGGGGAAUAUUGCACAGUGGGCGCAAGCCUGAUGCAGCGACGCCGCGUGAGGGAUGACGGCCUUCGGGUUGUAAACCUCUUUCAGCACCGACGAAGCGCAAGUGACGGUAGGUGCAGAAGAAGGACCGGCCAACUACGUGCCAGCCGCCGCGGUAA
rnacentral:rRNA from 1 species